rnacentral:tRNA from 1 species
UGUUUAUAUAGUUUAAAAACACUAGAUUGUGAAACUAGUAAUAGA